rnacentral:rRNA from 1 species
ACAGCAGUAGCCACGGUAAUACGUAGGGUGCGAGCGUUAAUCGGAAUUACUGGGCGUAAAGCGUGCGCAGGCGGUUUUGUAAGACAGGCGUGAAAUCCCCGGGCUCAACCUGGGAACGGCGCUUGUGACUGCAAAGCUAGAGUGCGGCAGAGGGGGAUGGAAUUCCGCGUGUAGCAGUGAAAUGCGUAGAUAUGCGGAGGAACACCGAUGGCGAAGGCAAUCCCCUGGGCCUGCACUGACGCUCAUGCACGAAAGCGUGGGGAGCAAACAGGAUUAGAUACCCCCGUAGUCCCUGUCUCUUAUAC